rnacentral:rRNA from 1 species
AAAUGGUGCCGUAACUUCGGGAGAAGGCACGCUGAUAUGUAGGUGAAGUGAUUUACUCAUGGAGCUGAAAUCAGUCGAAGAUACCAGCUGGCUGCAACUGUUUAUUAAAAACACAGCACUGUGCAAACACGAAAGUGGACGUAUACGGUGUGACGCCUGCCCGGUGCCGGAAGGUUAAUUGAUGGGGUUAUCCGUAAGGAGAAGCUCUUGAUCGAAGCCCCGGUAAACGGCGGCCGUAACUAUAACGGUCCUAAGGUAGCGAAAUUCCUUGUCGGGUAAGUUCCGACCUGCACGAAUGGCGUAAUGAUGGCCAGGCUGUCUCCACCCGAGACUCAGUGAAAUUGAACUCGCUGUGAAGAUGCAGUGUACCCGCGGCAAGACGGAAAGACCCCGUGAACCUUUACUAUAGCUUGACACUGAACACUGGUCCUUGAUGUGUAGGAUAGGUGGGAGGCUUUGAAGUGUGGACGCCAGUCUGCAUGGAGCCAUCCUUGAAAUACCACCCUUUAAUGGCUGGUGUUCUAACGUGGACCCGUUACCCGGGUUGCGGACAGUGUCUGGUGGGUAGUUUGACUGGGGCGGUCUCCUCCUAAAGAGUAACGGAGGAGCACGAAGGUUAGCUAAUCCUGGUCGGACAUCAGGAGGUUAGUGCAAAGGCAUAAGCUAGCUUGACUGCGAGAGUGACGGCUCGAGCAGGUGCGAAAGCAGGUCUUAGUGAUCCGGUGGUUCUGAAUGGAAGGGCCAUCGCUCAACGGAUAAAAGGUACUCCGGGGAUAACAGGCUGAUACCGCCCAAGAGUUCAUAUCGACGGCGGUGUUUGGCACCUCGAUGUCGGCUCAUCACAUCCUGGGGCUGAAGUAGGUCCCAAGGGUAUGGCUGUUCGCCAUUUAAAGUGGUACGCGAGCUGGGUUUAGAACGUCGUGAGACAGUUCGGUCCCUAUCUGCCGUGGGCGCUGGAGAAUUGAGGGGGGCUGCUCCUAGUACGAGAGGACCGGAGUGGACGCAUCACUGGUGUUCGGGUUGUCAUGCCAAUGGCAUUGCCCGGUAGCUAAAUGCGGAAGAGAUAAGUGCUGAAAGCAUCUAAGCACGAAACUUGCCCCGAGAUGAGUUCUCCCUGAGACUAUAAGUCUCCUGAAGGAACGUUAAAGACGAUGACGUUGAUAGGUCGGGUGUGUAAGUGUAGCGAUACAUUGAGCUAACCGAUACUAAUGAACCGUGAGGCUUAACCUUACAACGCCGAAG